CUUCCGCCUUUCUGCGUCCAUAAAAACCGAGGACUCAGCCACACUCAGACACACACGUCCGGACUACCCGGAUGCGGAAAGGAGUUACCCACCCUGGGUCUCCUGAGAGCCAUUUUGUAGCUCAGUGAAGCUCCUCUCCGCCUUGCUUCACCCUCCACUUUUCUGCAUACCUCAGUCUCCCUGGAUGCGGGAAAACAACUCCGGACCCACCGAAUGGCUAAAAAAAAAGCAUAGGACUUUGGGUUAAGAAAAAGCAACGCAAAACAAAAAAAAUGAAGUUUGCCUGCAAUAGACAGCCUCAGGAGCUCAAGAAUAAAAUUCGCUGGAGAAUAUCAUGCCAUAUUCUUGCCUGUGGACCUGGACCUGGACUAUCCUCAGGGAGAUCUUUCUCAAAUUUAAAGUCCUCUGAAGAAUGAAUAACGAAUAAAUCCUGAGAAGGAAUUUAAAACAUGCUUCUUCAACUAGCCUUCUUUGCUGUCCUCAGAUUCAGGUAGAAUAACAUCAAAGUCACUGAUGUAUCAAGAUUUAAAGGGCCCCUACCCCAUGACCUCUGAGAUUCUGGCCUUUUCUAUCCUCAGAUCAUAGACAAUUUAUGAUGACCUUCAUUUCAUAAAGGGCUUAUAUUACUUGUGUACAUGUAAGGUCAUGUACUUUUCAUCUUAUGGCAGAUGCAAAUUUCUUUUAAAGACCAGCUCACACAUCACCUA